rnacentral:piRNA from 1 species
UGUUAGCAAUAAUGUGAACCUGUGAUCAAGC